rnacentral:rRNA from 1 species
GGAAUAUUGGGCAAUGGGGGAAACCCUGACCCAGCAACGCCGCGUGAGGGAAGAAGGUUUUCGGAUCGUAAACCUCUGUCCUUGGUGAAGAGGAAGAGACGGUAGCCAAGGAGGAAGCCCCGGCUAACUACGUGCCAGCAGCCGCGGUAAUACGUAGGGGGCGAGCGUUGUCCGGAAUGAUUGGGCGUAAAGGGCGCGUAGGCGGCCCGGUAAGUCUGGAGUGAAAGUCCUGCUUUUAAGGUGGGAAUUGCUUUGGAUACUGUCGGGCUUGAGUGCAGGAGAGGUAAGUGGAAUUCCCAGUGUAGCGGUGAAAUGCGUAGAGAUUGGGAGGAACACCAGUGGCGAAGGCGGCUUUCUGGACUGUGCCUGACGCUGAGGCUCGAAAGCCAGGGGAGCGAACG